UAGUCAUACGCUAAUCUCAAAGAUUAAGCCAUGCACGUCUAAGUAUAGCAUUAUACAGUGAAACUGCGAAUGGCUCAUUAAAUCAGUUAUAGUUUAUUUGAUGUUAAACAUUUACUUGGAUAUCUGUAGUAAUUCUAGAGUCAAUACAUGCUAAAAAGCCACUAGCAAUAGUGGCUGCAUUUAUGACUUUGUAACCCAAUUCAUUGGUGAUACUACAUAACUUCGCUGAUUGAUCUCACGAUCAAUAUGUCAUUCAAGUUUCUGCCCUAUCAGCUUGAUGGUAGUGUAUUGGCCUACCAUGGCGUUAACGGGUAACGGAGAAUUAGGGUUCGAUUCCGGAGAGGGAGCCUGAGAGACGGCUACCACAUCCAUGGAAGGCAGCAGGCGCGUAAAUUACCCAAUCCUGACUUAGGGAGGUAGUGAAAAUAAAUACUGAUAUGGUGGGUUUUCCUACUAUAAUCGGAAUGAGAUAACUGUAGAUACGUUGUUGAUAUUCAAUU
rnacentral:rRNA from 1 species